UACGUAGGGUGCAAGCGUUGUCCGGAAUUAUUGGGCGUAAAGAGCUCGUAGGCGGUCUGUUAUGUCGGAUGUGAAAGCCCUUGGCUCAACUGAGGAAGUGCAUCCGAAACUGGCAGGCUAGAGUACGUAAGAGGGUCGCGGAAUUCCCGGUGUAGAGGUGAAAUUCGUAGAUAUCGGGAGGAACACCGGUGGCGAAGGCGGCGACCUGGGACGAUACUGACGCUGAGGUGCGAAAGCGUGGGGAGCAAACAGG
rnacentral:rRNA from 1 species